UUCUGUAAGCCUGUGAAGGUGAGUUGAGAAGCUUGCUGGAGGUAUCAGAAGUGCGAAUGCUGACAUGAGUAACGACAAUGGGUGUGAAAAACACCCACGCCGAAAGACCAAGGGUUCCUGCGCAACGUUAAUCGACGCAGGGUUAGUCGGUUCCUAAGGCGAGGCUGAAAAGCGUAGUCGAUGGGAAACAGGUUAAUAUUCCUGUACUUCUGGUUACUGCGAUGGAGGGACGGAGAAGGCUAGGCCAGCUUGGCGUUGGUUGUCCAAGUUUAAGGUGGUAGGCUGAAAUCUUAGGUAAAUCCGGGGUUUCAAGGCCGAGAGCUGAUGACGAGUCGUCUUUUAGAUGACGAAGUGGUUGAUGCCAUGCUUCCAAGAAAAGCUUCUAAGCUUCAGGUAACCAGGAACCGUACCCCAAACCGACACAGGUGGUCGGGUAGAGAAUACCAAGGCGCUUGAGAGAACUCGGGUGAAGGAACUAGGCAAAAUGGCACCGUAACUUCGGGAGAAGGUGCGCCGGCUAGGGUGAAGGAUUUACUCCGUAAGCUCUGGCUGGUCGAAGAUACCAGGCCGCUGCGACUGUUUAUUAAAAACACAGCACUCUGCAAACACGAAAGUGGACGUAUAGGGUGUGACGCCUGCCCGGUGCCGGAAGGUUAAUUGAUGGGGUUAGCGCAAGCGAAGCUCUUGAUCGAAGCCCCGGUAAACGGCGGCCGUAACUAUAACGGUCCUAAGGUAGCGAAAUUCCUUGUCGGGUAAGUUCCGACCUGCACGAAUGGCGUAACGAUGGCGGCGCUGUCUCCACCCGAGACUCAGUGAAAUUGAAAUCGCUGUGAAGAUGCAGUGUAUCCGCGGCUAGACGGAAAGACCCCGUGAACCUUUACUGUAGCUUUGCACUGGACUUUGAGCCUGCUUGUGUAGGAUAGGUGGGAGGCUUUGAAGCGUGGACGCCAGUUCGCGUGGAGCCAUCCUUGAAAUACCACCCUGGCAUGCUUGAGGUUCUAACUCUGGUCCGUAAUCCGGAUCGAGGACAGUGUAUGGUGGGCAGUUUGACUGGGGCGGUCUCCUCCUAAAGAGUAACGGAGGAGUACGAAGGUGCGCUCAGACCGGUCGGAAAUCGGUCGCAGAGUAUAAAGGCAAAAGCGCGCUUGACUGCGAGACAGACACGUCGAGCAGGUACGAAAGUAGGUCUUAGUGAUCCGGUGGUUCUGUAUGGAAGGGCCAUCGCUCAACGGAUAAAAGGUACUCCGGGGAUAACAGGCUGAUACCGCCCAAGAGUUCAUAUCGACGGCGGUGUUUGGCACCUCGAUGUCGGCUCAUCACAUCCUGGGGCUGAAGCCGGUCCCAAGGGUAUGGCUGUUCGCCAUUUAAAGUGGUACGCGAGCUGGGUUUAGAACGUCGUGAGACAGUUCGGUCCCUAUCUGCCGUGGACGUUUGAGAUUUGAGAGGGGCUGCUCCUAGUACGAGAGGACCGGAGUGGACGAACCUCUGGUGUUCCGGUUGUCACGCCAGUGGCAUUGCCGGGUAGCUAUGUUCGGAAAAGAUAACCGCUGAAAGCAUCUAAGCGGGAAACUUGCCUCAAGAUGAGAUCUCACUGGGAACUUGAUUCCCCUGAAGGGCCGUCGAAGACUACGACGUUGAUAGGCUGGGUGUGUAAGCGUUGUGAGGCGUUGAGCUAACCAGUACUAAUUGCCCGUGAGGCUUGACCAU
rnacentral:rRNA from 1 species